ACGCACGCUGGCGGCGUGCUUCACACAUGCCAGUCGAACGGUGAAGCGCCUUCCUUUUUGGUGGGUGUGGAUGAGUGGCGAACGGGUGAGUAACACGUGAGUAACCUGCCCCCUUCUUCUGGAUAACCGCAUGAAAGUGUGGCUAAUACGGGAUAUUCUGGGUCUGUCGCAUGAUGGGUCUGGGAAAGAUAUUGUUUCGGUGGGGGAUGGGCUCGCGGCCUAUCAGCUUGUUGGUGGGGUGAUGGCCUACCAAGGCGGUGACGGGUAGCCGGCCUGAGAGGGUGGACGGUCACACUGGGACUGAGACACGGCCCAGACUCCUACGGGAGGCAGCAGUGGGGAAUAUUGCACAAUGGGCGCAAGCCUGAUGCAGCGACGCCGCGUGAGGGAUGGAGGCCUUCGGGUUGUGAACCUCUUUCGCCAGUGAAGCAGGCCUGCCUCGUUUGUGGGUGGGUUGACGGUAGCUGGAUAAGAAGCGCCGGCUAACUACGUG
rnacentral:rRNA from 1 species